rnacentral:rRNA from 1 species
UACCAUGCAGUCGAACGGCAGCACGGGGGCAACCCUGGUGGCGAGUGGCGAACGGGUGAGUAAUAUAUCGGAACGUACCUUUGGGUGGGGGAUAACGUAGCGAAAGUUACGCUAAUACCGCAUACGAUCUACGGAUGAAAGCAGGGGACCGCAAGGCCUUGCGCUCAUAGAGCGGCCGAUAUCUGAUUAGCUUGUUGGCGGGGUGACGGCCCACCAAGGCGGUGAUCGGUAGCGGGUCUGAGAGGAUGAUCCGCCACACGGGGACUGAGACACGGCCCCGACUCCUACGGGAGGCAGCAGCAAGGAAUUUUCCGCAAUGGGGGCAACCCUGACGGAGCAACGCCGCGUGCGGGACGACGCCUUUCGGGGUGUAAACCGCUUUUGCCGAGGGAGAGAACGGACGGUACUCGGCGAAUAAGGGCCGGCUAACUACGUGCCAGCAGCCGCGGUAAUACGUAGGGCCCGAGCGUUGUCCGGAGUUACUGGGCGUAAAGCGCGCGCAGGCGGCCCCUCAAGCGCCACGUGAAAGCCCCGGGCUCAACCCGGGAGGGUCGCGGCGAACUGGGGGGCUUGAGGCCGGUAGAGGUGGGUGGAACUCCUGGUGGAGUGGUGAAAUGCGUAGAGAUCAGGAAGAACACCCGUGGCGAAGGCGGCCCACUGGGCCGAUACUGACGCUGAGGCGCGAAGGCGUGGGGAGCGAACGGGAUUAGAUACCCCGGUAGUCCACGCAGUAAACGAUGUCGACUCGGUGUGGGCGGUCUUGACCCCGUCCGCGCCACAGCUAACGCGAUAAGUCGACCGCCUGGGGAGUACNGGCCGCAAGGCUAAAACUCAAAGGAAUUGACGG